GGCACUCUUACAGCUGAGUGGCACGUCCUGCCUUAGCUCAGCAACAAACUGCUACAUGUCACAACUACCUUGGCUGAUGGGGAACUAGGCAGACCCUGGCUGUCAACCAGGACCUUAAAUUCCUAGAGCUUUUAUAGGAAUUAAUAACACAGAAAUCUACUUAUGACAUGGCAGGUAGGGAAUAAAGUCAAACCCACGUUUAUAUCACUCUCACUACAUGCUCAUGGACAGAGGCAGAAAGGGCCAUGGAAAACAUUUGUUUUGGGUGUUCUAAUACAGUUUCCCAACAACACAAAUAGUUAGAAUACAAAAUAACAGGGCAACAUAAGGUGAGGUGAUGGUGCUACACUGAUAGUACUGAGGGUGUUUAAAAUCCUUCAGAAAGAGAUCUUCAGAAAACAAGAGAAUUUUCAAACUAUGAGGUAAGGACAGCUUUCCUG
rnacentral:lncRNA from 1 species